GUCGCACCUACCGAUUGAAUGGUCCGGUGAAGCCUCGGGAUUGUGGUCAGUGUUGCUUCAUUGCAACUUUAUCGCGAGAACUUGUCUAAACCUUAUCAUUUAGAGGAAGGUG
rnacentral:rRNA from 1 species